CGAGGCUUUCAGUCGGUGCCUCGGCUGCGCUCGCUGGGACGGACAAACGCAAGCCGACAUCCGCCAAGCGCGGCGCACGGCCCAGAGGCCGCCCACGUGCUGGUGAUGCUGUUUACGAAGGAAAGGCUUCGUGGGGCUGCUCUAAGCCCAGGUCAAGGCAGAGGAUGUUUACCAGCCUUCAGACCAAGGUGGCUGAGGACACGAUGCUGUGUGAGCGGGGAAGGUGCCCCAGGAUGCGGGUGCCCAUUGCCCCAGCGCCGCUCGUGGGCAUCGCCAAGGCUCUGCAAGUGCUCUGUGCUCCUGGCAGAGGGAGCAAACCCCGUGGAGGGCUGCAAGUGUUUGGGACAACGGUCUGGGCCUUAAGCAGGACUCUGCAAGUGCCUUGUCUGCCCUGGGGCCAAGCCAUGCCCCUUAUCCUACAGCUGGCAGAGCCCAGGGUCAUCCUGGCACUCUCUGAGGACAACCAGGACAGACACCUACCCCACUGCCCCUCCGGCAGGUGUGCUGCAGAAUCAGGCCUGCUCUUUGCAUACCAAAGACACACAGAAAUGAGGAAGCCCUUGCAGAUUUGUCAGACUUCUCCCUCACCAGUUUGCAUUUUGCUGUCUCCGCUCUCCUCCAGCUAAGGGCAGGGGAGAGAGGACAGAGCUGGAGGAGGUCAGGUUGGGGCUGGGGAAGGAGAGGACAGAUUUGGGGUUAGCUGGAGCGCUUUGAGCUUUAGGGCAGGGCUUCAUCCUUUGGCAGAGAGUGCGUCUGAAGUACCUGACUGCUCUCUGCUAAGUGAGCUUCACUUCCUAUUCCUACAAAAAGGGAAGUUGCUUUUUUAGAAAGCUGCUUGCCAUCCACCGCAGAGGUAGGAAGGAGGAGCUACCACGAGGUGCAGCAAAGGCUUAGAAAUAAGGCUGCCAAGUCAUCUUGGGAAACAGGGCGACAGCACGGCAGCUCCAGACAGAAACCUGCUUCUGAUUUGAGACACGUUCCCAGUUCUGACAGUGGGGAAACCCAGCAGCUGCAGCCAGGCUGCUGCACAGACCCUUCCAGUGACGGCAGCAGUUAAAGCAGCUCAGAAUUGAAGAGUCUAAAUAAACAGAUUAAACAUGGUGCAAUCUACCUACUGCGUCCCAGGGAGGUUUUUAGGUACCUAGAGCUGUGACCCUGAGGGGAGAAUCAGCCCUUCAUCCCCAUGCCUCCUCUGUUGCCUCCAGACGGGGACUCUCCUGGCCCUGAGACAAGACCCAGAGUGGAGAAGCCCAGGCAGUGAAUGCCCUCCUGCAAUCUGUCUGCUCAGAAAUCAUGAAGCACCAGCCCACGGGUAUCCUUUAAAAGAAACUGGAGGGAAGUCACUGCGAAAGCACGCAAAAAAGGGCACUGAAAAGAGAGGAAGUCUCGUACACAGCUCCUGGGUCACUCCAGAUGGGCUCCACCUGCCCCCAGUUUCCCCAGCCCGAGGGUGCAGGCUGUCAUCUCCCCCGCUCCAGCAGGGUCUGGCUGGCAGUGGUCCCACCUUGCUGCCAUAUGUUGGUCUCCAGAUGUUCCCCAGGAGCUUCGCAGUGUGCAAUCCCACAGCUGGCUCAUCUCUGCUACCUGUUACAAUCCCCCGUAAGAUGUGCAUUGAACCCAAAUGUCCAGCCCAUGGGGUUAAUGCCCGAAGAAAGAUCUCUAGGACUAACCACAAUCCCUGGACACGGAGAGAGUCCAGAAAAUGCUGCUGGCUCCCUCUGGAUGACCCCAAGCCCAGUGGGAUGGCCACCCGGCCAUACACCCACACUGGUGGCCCCACUGCACAGCCUCCUUCUGCAGCAGAGUCCACCACAUUUUAUCCACUUUACACUGAACCCAAUAAAAGUGUUCCCGUUAAGGUGGCUGCUGCAGGAGGGACUCCAGCUUCGAUCUGAAGCCACCCAGAGGGAUGAAGGCACCUCCACUUUCCAGUUGGCCCCAGGGGCUGCUUUCUACACCCCUGCAGUGCAGGCUAGGUAGCUCGUUCCCUCCAGACCUUGUUCUCAUGACCUGCUUAUGAAUUUCCCCUCCCAUUCCUUGCCUGUUAAGAACGAGUACCCUAAUUUACCAUCUGAACCUUGCAGCUGCCAUUCCUCUGGCAAAUUAAAAGCUAAUUUAAAGCACUGGAUUGCUGCUGGAGGAGGAUGCUGAUGCAUUUUAACCAACCAUCCGGCCUCCAUUUUGACUGCUGAGGCUUUCUGAGCUCUAAGGCAGCAUCUCUGCUAGUGAAAUAGUGUCAGGUCUCCAUCUCUCCCCCUUCAAAAUAAGCUGUGGUCUUCCUCCUGUGAGUCUCAAAUGCUGAAGGCCAAAUGCGUAAGAGACAACUGGGAAAAAAACUCUGUGAUAAAAGUCAAGGCUGCACUGAGCAGAGGGAUACCCUCCUGUGAGGCCACCUGGUGUAAUCUGAUGGUCCUUCACCACUUGCCACCAUAACCUGGGGAAGAACAGAGGUCUGAGAAAAGAGGAGGCUGCGACCUUCUGCGUAUGAGGAGAUAUUUGCAAAGUAGGAAACGGGGACCCCGGUGACUCGGAUGCAGGGUCAGUCGCCUCAUUUGCCUCUUGGCCAUAAUGCAAAUGGCACCAAGAGUUUGUUCACCCCUGCUUCCUCCACCCAGAGUUGCGUAUUCAACCAUCGGUAAGGCGGCCCAGACGCCCCAGACAAAUUAAUAAUUUUUCACUCUUCUCCUCUUACUGGGUAGCAAAGGACUCAUUUGUAAACCCCAUGUGUUUUCUAUUUCUGCUCUGUCUCCUACGUGCCUGACAUGCAGGACACAAGGAGUCCUGCAUGCUGCUUUUUGAUCAGCAACAGAUUUCCCACUUUCCAGAUGAACAGAAGUCAUCUGUGAGAUCCAGUCAAGUUCAACGAAUUAUUUCAUAAGUAAAUAAAAGUUUGUUGGGGAGGAAAUCCACAGAGAGGUUUUGAAAAGCACAUUUCACUUCAGAAAAGAAGUACAUUUUACAGGGUCGCAGAAAUGUAGGGCUGGCCCUCAGGCAGUCAUCUAAUCCGCUUGGUGGACAUAUAUUUUUCUGGGAGAUGACCUAAAUGGUGCUUACUGUUGGAAAUUCCCACUGUUCCCCAGUCUGUCCCAGCCCUCCAAGUUCCAUAGACUUAAAAUGACUUCUUAAUGAUCAGCACUUCUUAAUGAUCGGCACAAAUUUCCUUACUGAAAGACCUACAACUGCGUGUCCUGCCCAUGGUGAACACAAAGUUUAUUCCCCCCUGUUUUUUUUGCAGGGGCUCCAGCAAAUCAAGCACUACUACUUCUUGAAAAAAUUCCCCAUUGAUCACACUGUCCACACCUUUGCUCAGCUGUGUCCUUCUUUUUUAGGCCUUCUGAAAUUGGGUUUGGGAGCUUGAAUAGGCAAACCCGCAAUGUUUUCCAAGUUAAAACUGACCGACAUUAACAAAGGCAAAAUUACUCUGUAAAACCCCAGAAACAUUGUUCUCUAGCUCAGUUGCAACAUUUUCUUGGAAGCAAUUAUAAUUAUAAAUCUAUUUUUUAUUUCAACACAAGGAACUGCUCUCUUUUCGGGUUUGUUUUUUUGGGGGGGAGAAAGGGGGGAUUUUUUUUGGCUGGACAGUGAAAUGAAUUCAAGUGGCUUUACCCCUGAUAUGGAAGACAGAGAGACCUCUGAGAAGCACAGGGCUUGUUGAAUAUGAAAUGCUAGAGGUCUGGUUUAUGUUCCUGGUUUAUAAGUUGCACUUUAACAUUUAUUUUUAAACCAAAACCAUGACCUGUAUAUCCUGUUUCAUAUAGGGAUGUACUUUCUUUUGAGUUUCAUGGUGACAUCUGAUGGUGCAGCCAAUUCUUCCACAAGCAGUGGGACCCUGAGGCUGUAAUCUGUUGCCAAGACCUCUGAAAAGGGAGAAUUGCAUCCAAUUUUAUCCCCUCUACUACCUCUAAUCUCUGCUGCUUGCAAUGCGGUACAGAUCUAACGAGAAAGCUGAAUUGCAGCACAUUAAAUGAAUCAGUGAGUGGAGACUUUGGGGUUGCCCAUGGUUCCAGCAGGAUUUAGCCCCAGGGCCCUUGCAAAAUUUUUGCCCAUGAUUGAGCCCCGUGGGUCUGCAGGAAACGAUUGACUACAGGGGAGCUCACCCACAUGGAGUCAACGCUUGGUUGCCUCCUUGAGUCUCAUCAAGCAUGAAAGAGCAGCAAGGAAACUCCCUUUUUAACAUAGAGAGAAUGGAAAGACUGAUAGUAAGGAAGGAAGGCAAAUAAUGAUGAAGUAACAGUGUGCCCAAGUGCUCCUACUCUGCCCAACACAGUGCCGUCACUCCCGUGAAAUCCACAGGGGCCUGUUUCCAGAUGACAACGGGGUAUCGCUGGUGAAAAAUACCCCCUUUCCAAAAGUCUUCUCUGGACUUGAAGACAGCCUCAACACCUGCUUGGACUUUGAUGUUUCCGUAAAGGUUUCAAGGAGAAUUAAAGGCUGAAAAGUCAGUCAAGGGGAAAAUCACAAAGCAGAAAUAAAAGAGCUGAUCUCCUUGUCUGAAAUGGACUUAUGGCCCAAAUUGUGUGGAAGUAGGAUGCUUUUUUUAUUAUUAUUUUUUUUAAUGCUCAGCUUGAGAUAUCAUGGGCUUAUUUAACAGGGGCUGAAGAGCACCCCACCUCAACUGAGAACAGUAGAGCCCAGGGUAGAAAUGCAUACAACAACACCCCUUGUCUAAUAAGCAGAAUGUGGAAAGUCAUUAUAAAAGCAGAAAAAAAAAUAGUAACACCACCGCAGAAUUUUCACUUAAAUAUGUCUUGUGUCUUUUCUCCUGCAUCAGAAAAUCUGGCCUUUGGCUUUUUACCUGUGACCCCCAAGGUGUAGUAAUAGCUCUGUUUUGGCAGAACAAAACAAGAAUGGG